UACAGAGGGUGCAAGCGUUAAUCGGAAUUACUGGGCGUAAAGCGUGCGUAGUCGGUUAUUUAAGUCGGAUGUGAAAUCCCCGGGCUCAACCUGGGAAUUGCAUUCGAUACUGGAUAGCUAGAGUUCGGCAGAGGGAAGUGGAAUUUCUGGUGUAGCGGUGAAAUGCGUAGAUAUCAGAAGGAACACCGAUGGCGAAGGCAGGUCUCUGGGCCACUACUGACGCUGAGAAGCGAAAGCAUGGGGAGCGAACAGG
rnacentral:rRNA from 1 species